GAGAGUAGGGGUAGGCGGUUGCAGAGUAGCUUCGCUAUUCUGAGGAAAGUCCGGGCUCCCGAAAGACCAAACUUGCUGGGUAACGCCCAGUGCGGGCGACCGUGAGGAUAGUGCCACAGAAAGAUACCGCCUUCUUGUAGUUCUGAGUUUUGAGUUAUGAGUUAAUUCAAAACUUAAAACUCAAAACUGUAAGAGGGUAAGGGUGCAAAGGUGCGGUAAGAGCGCACCAGCAACGUCGAGAGGCGUUGGCUCGGUAAACCCCGGUUGGGAGCAAGGUGGAAGGAACUAUGGUUGGUCUUUUACCAGUUCCGUCAUUAGGUACCGCUAGAGGCAUCUGGUAACAGGUGUCCCAGAUAGAUAACUGCCCUCUUAGCUUGUAUAGUUAAGAGAACAGAACCCGGCUUAUGACUUGCUCUCUCCC
rnacentral:RNase_P_RNA from 2 species